UACGUAGGGUGCGGGCGUUAAUCGGAAUUACUGGGCGUAAAGCGUGCGCAGGCGGUGAGCUGUGUCCGAUGUGAAAGCCCCGGGCUUAACCUGGGAAUGGCAUUGGAAACUGGCUCGCUGGAGUGUGGCAGAGGGGGGUGGAAUUCCGCGUGUAGCAGUGAAAUGCGUAGAGAUGCGGAGGAACACCGAUGGCGAAGGCAGGUCUCUGGGCUGACACUGACGCUCAUGCACGAAAGCGUGGGGAGCAAACAGG
rnacentral:rRNA from 1 species